GCUUGUCGGCUAGGCACCCCUGAGCCCGCUAGAGGACUUACGGACCCACUCAAGGGGACGUACCCGAAACCUACUUGGACAUGAAGACUACUUUGCAGGGCGCGUAGGCUUCAUGGUUUCCCCGAAGACUAGUCAGCUAGGAAGGAGAUUACUCUACCGAGUUAGAGUAGGACUCUGUAACGUACUCGACUAGGACCUGUACACAAUCCGUCCUGUAACCCUGCUCCCCCGACUAUAUAAGGGCGAGCAGGGACCUCCUCCAAAGAAUGAAGAACAAGAGAACACAACUGAAUCAAUACAAUCAACACACAGGAUAUAGGGUAUUACGCGAUCUAGUGGCCUGAACCUUUCUGAAUCGUGUUCCUUACAUCACCAUCGACUCCUUGAUUCUCGACGACACCCACCAC
rnacentral:lncRNA from 1 species